AUCCAUGCAAUCGCAAGUAAAUCGAUGCAUUUAAUAGAGAAACGGAAGACAGCUCAUUACAACAGUUCGAAAAGAAGUGAAGAACUACUAGUGUUGGAGGGCAACCGAAAGCACUACAAUGGAUAUCGUCUCGAAUCGAGACGCUAAUACAUGUAUAACGACCUCAAGAGAACCCUUUGUGGUUUGAGAGAGAAUUUAUCCUCUAGAAGCCAAUUUCCUCGUCUUCUACUUCAACUUUUGAAUAUGUAUAAAUCCACGUAUCGAGUUGUGGUAUCUUUGACUAGAAAGAUAUUUACGGAUAACGAAGGAUUAGGGUUCGAUCUCGGAGAGGAGGCCUGAUAUACUGCCUCCACUUCCAAGGAAGGCAGCAGGAGCGAAAAUUACUCAAUGACACAUCGUCGAAGUAGUGACGAAAACUACCAGAGCUAUGCCCGUAUAGGGAUAGUAUUUGGGAUGAGUACAAUUUAAAACCAUUCACGAGCAACAAUAAGAGGGCAAGUCUGGUGCCAGCAGCCGCGGUAAUUCCAGCUCUUAGGGUGUAUCUGGACGUUGUUGCAGUUAAAAAGCUCAUAGCCAAUUUAACAUGUACGACGUUCUUGGAAAGUCAUUCCCGUCAAAAGGUUUGAUUAAAUCCGAAAGGUCAUACUUGAAAACUCUUUCUAGAAACCUUAGGAGUGUAAUAGCGACUUUGGGCUCUGUGCUUGACAUGGGGUAUUCCAUUUUUAGAAAGACGAUAACUUUGAAGAAAUUAGAGUGUUCAUUACAAGCCAGUUGGCUUUGAAUAUAUUAGCAUGGUAUUAUGAAAUACGACUGACUAGUAUUCUCAUAAAGACGAGCUACUGUCAAAGGUAGACCGGGACUAGAUUAGUAAUGAGAGAAAAAGACUGGAUGAGUGGCCUGUAUUUACAAGGGAAAGGUGAAAUUUUAUGAUCUUGUAAAGACAAACUAAUGCGAAAGCACUCCACUGGAAUGUUUUUUUUAGUCAAGAACGAAAGUUCAGGGCGCGAAGAUGCUUAGAUACCAUCGUAGUCUGAACUGUAAACAAUGUUGAUUUAGGAUCUCAGAUCAUUAUUUUAUGACUUCUGAGGCACUACAUGAGAAAUCUAGAAUAUUCGAACUCUG
rnacentral:rRNA from 1 species